rnacentral:lncRNA from 1 species
GUUAAUGUCAGAGCAACAUAAGCGGGUAAAACAUUAUAUCCAAUAGUCAGAUAAUUGAAAACCCUAAAGUGUAAAGCCAUAGAGAUGAAACUCCAGUAAGAUCAAUCGAAAGAAGCAAAGAGGAAAAUCAGAGUUGAGAAAUGCCUAAAUGUUUAAAACAUUUUGCAAAAAUCUCUUAGAAAAAUCAAAACACUAGCUUUUAGGAAAAAUGAAAUAGGUUGACAAUAAUAGUAAAAACAGAAAGAUCUUAAAGAAAAAAAACCUUUCAUAUCUGAAGAGAUCUAACGGAUUUAACGAGAGAUAACUAAGUUUAUAUAAAAAGAUGAACAGAUGUGGAAAAUCUUGUUUGAUCCAGAGAGUAGAAGUCAUGAAAACACGGAACUGAUAGUACUCACAGACAUAGAGUUGAAAUUUGAAUAUAGGCGGAUUAAUUGAAAAGAGGAUAAAUUUGAACUAGAUCUGGUUCGAAUUCCUUGAGAUCCCAUCAAGUAACAUGAAAAUUGAAUAACCAGUAGAGGUAGGAUGACGGAUAAGGCGGUAAAUCACCAAAUGAUUCCAUAUCCGGUUGGGAACCAAAGGGAUUUAAGAGGAAUUUUGAGUGUCAGUGCUGUAGGGUUUGAGAACGCCUGAGAGAGAAGAGAGGAUGGGAGGAUUUUGAGGCGGCUUAUUUGGGAUUAUGGGCAGGUUUGGGGGGUUGUUUGAUAAAAUAAAAAAGGAAAUGAAUCCUAG